GAUGAACGCUGGCGGCGUGCCUAAUACAUGCAAGUCGAGCGAAUGGAUUAAGAGCUUGCUCUUAUGAAGUUAGCGGCGGACGGGUGAGUAACACGUGGGUAACCUGACCAUAAGACUGGGAUAACUCCGGGAAACCGGGGCUAAUACCGGAUAACAUUUUGAACCGCAUGGUUCAAAAUUGAAAGGCGGCUUCGGCUGUCACUUAUGGAUGGACCCGCGUCGCAUUAGCUAGUUGGUGAGGUAACGGCUCACCAAGGCAACGAUGCGUAGCCGACCUGAGAGGGUGAUCGGCCACACUGGGACUGAGACACGGCCCAGACUCCUACGGGAGGCAGCAGUAGGGAAUCUUCCGCAAUGGACGAAAGUCUGACGGAGCAACGCCGCGUGAGUGAUGAAGGCUUUCGGGUUGUAAAACUCUGUUGUUAGGGAAGAACAAGUGCUAGUUGAAUAAGCUGGCACCUUGACGGUACCUAACCAGAAAGCCACGGCUAACUACGUGCCAGCAGCCGCAGUAA
rnacentral:rRNA from 1 species